UCUCUUUUUAGUCUUUUCACCCUAAAAUUCUGUUCUUCCUUUGCUUGCAUCAUAAGGAGAGUGAAAGAAGAGUAGUAGAAGGGUGUGGAGUCGACACAAGUGCGCAAUAACGCCGCAAACAAUAUCAGGACGGUGGACUGGGUUGGUAAUGACACGACGUGCAAUCAAGCUAUACCAUCUCUCAUAUUCUUCUAACCACGUUUGGUCAUUAUCAUCAUCAGCCACCGCAUUCACAACAUUUUCUUCUCGGCUUUCCCAUUCAAACAAGUAUUUCAUGUGCCUAGUGCUCCAGUCUGUGCCCCUUUUCCCUCUCCCAUCAAUCUUGUGCAAGUCUACUCCGGUGUCGAAGUUGGCCGGGGGUGGCUGCUUGAACUUCCCAAACUGGCGGAGAACUCUGUCCGGUAAGUGCCACUCUACAAUCUCAUACAUGAUCAGAGGAGACUUCGUCAUCCAGAUGUGCUUCCCUGCUUUGCAAUAAUCUGGUAACUCAUCCAACUCGUUUUCAUAUGGUCUCCAUUUAAACUGCACUCGAAAAUGCAAUUGAAUUAUUAAUACA